rnacentral:rRNA from 1 species
GAUCCAGACUUUGAUCCUGGCUCAGGAUUAACGCUGGCGGCGCACAUAAGACAUGCAAGUCGAACGGAAGUCGUUAUAACUCAGAACGAAGAUUUAUCUGAGGGACGAGAUAUAACAAUGGCUUUAGUGGCGGACUGGUGAGUAACACGUAAGAAACCUGCCUAUUAGAGGGGAAUAACAACGAGAAAUCGUUGCUAAUACCGCAUAAGCUAGUAGUACCGCAUGGUACAGCUAGAAAAGGAGAAAUCCGCUAAUAGAUGGUCUUGCGUCCGAUUAGCUAGUUGGUGGGGUAACGGCCUACCAAGGCAACGAUCGGUAGCCGAGCUGAGAGGCUCAACGGCCACAUUGGGACUGAGAUACGGCCCAGACUCCUACGGGAGGCAGCAGUCGGGAAUAUUGCGCAAUGGAGGAAACUCUGACGCAGUGACGCCGCGUAUAGGAAGAAGGUUUUCGGAUUGUAAACUAUUUUAGACAGGGAAGAAAUUGACAGUACCUGUAGAAUAAGCUCCGGCUAACUACGUGCCAGCAGCCGCGGUAAUACGUAGGGAGCAAGCGUUAUCCGGAUUUAUUGGGUGUAAAGGGUGCGUAGACGGGAGAACAAGUUAGUUGUGAAAGCCCUCGGCUUAACUGAGGAACUGCAACUAAAACUAUUUUUCUUGAGUGCAGGAGAGGAAAGCGGAAUUCCUAGUGUAGCGGUGAAAUGCGUAGAUAUUAGGAGGAACACCAGUGGCGAAGGCGGCUUUCUGGACUGUAACUGACGUUGAGGCACGAAAGUGUGGGGAGCAAACAGGAUUAGAUACCCUGGUAGUCCACACCGUAAACGAUGGAUACUAGGUGUAGGAGAUGAUUUCAUCAUCUGUGCCGAAAGCAAACGCAAUAAGUAUCCCACCUGGGGAGUACGGCCGCAAGGUUGCAACUCAAAGGAA